CAAAACCCAUGAAUGCCGUUGCGUCCAAUUGCAAGGGCUGGUUUCGCUUCCUUCUGCACAAUUAUUUGCACAUCUGUUCAGAAAAUGGGAUUAAACUCCUGGGAUUGUAAACCCUAAUUUGCAAAAGUCCGGCUACACAUACACUUUUUUUUUUAAAUCACAUAUUGCACCCUCUUCUGAACCAUAACACAUUUAAAUAUAACUUUUGUUUUGCUUAAUUGCUUUGAGUAUUAAAAAAAAAAAUCCUUCCGUUUUGCUAGUUUGGGCUGGUCCUGAAUCUCUAGGAUAAAAGCCAAGAACAGUUCAAACUCAUUAAGAGAGUUUUGAAAUAUUAAGCGGUAUACAGCAUAAAUGCUUCUAAAUAAAUAUAUGCAUUACCAUUUAUAUUUACAUAAUUGUUACUUUUAAAUGUUAAACUUCUGGAAGAGGCAACUGUUCCACAAUGGGGAAAUGUUCCUUAAGCUAAAUUCUUUUCUCUUAAGUACCUAUCUCCAAAAGAAAUCACCUUUCCCCUUAGGUUUUCCUAUCCUAACUUUACAGUUGUUGCAAAAAUAAAAGAACAAUUUCCUCUCAGGACUUCCAUGUAUUAUAGAAUAUAUUGCUGACAUAAUGCUGUCAGCUGCAUCAAAUUCUUUUGCUGGCUAGCUCACUGGGCUGUUUUGAAGAUUUUUUUAUUUUAUGGAUUUUUGCGGCUUCUGCAAGUACAUGGAUAGCUCCACUGUUUCUUGGUGACUCCAUUUGGACAACAGUCCUAUCCAUACUUUCCCACCAAAGCUUGCUAUAGCGAUGGCUGGGUGGAAAGCUGAAGUGACUUCUUGUAGAACAGAAGUCUGCCAUGCAGCACAGUCCAGGCACAGAAGAGGAAUUCACAUGAUGUACUCCAGCUCUACUAUUUAUGAUCACCACUAGCUAUGAAAGCUUGAGUUCCUUGGGACAUUCCUCACACCACUGGGCGAGCUCAGUGCUGAAAUCUUGAGAUCUUGUGAGUUUUUGAUUGUAGGAGUUCAAGCACACCUAUAAUAUAGUCUGCAAAUGACAAUCUUACCUUUCAACGUCAGUGAUGUUCCGUGGGCUUUCUGUGUUUGCUUCUGUUCAAAGAUGCUGACCACUUCUGCUCAUUUGGAGCAUGUCAUGUUGCGUACCAACUUAACUAACCUCCCUGUGCCUUUUUAAAAGAUCAAAGUUCUUGUAGUUAUGUUCCCCAAUUUCCCAAACUAUGAUUUGUAUAUAGCAGACAUGUCCAACUUCCAAUAGGCUGCGAUCUAUUAAAAAAUGGCAGUGAGCUACCCAUUGGAUUGACCAGAGUUGCUGAGCUUUUGUUGGGAAAGCAUCAAAGUUGUUGAGCUUUGGGGGGGAGGGGGGCAUGAUCCCGCGAUCAACCAGGGACAUACUGCAAUCGACCGGUAUAUGGUACUUUUCCUUUCUACAUUUAUCCAGCUGAAGUGUGUGUUAUGAAUGAUGUCUGGUAUGGUAUUUAUAGUUGUAACAUAGAAGGGCAGAAGUAUUUGGGUUUCCUACAAUUCAUU